GACGGUGGUAGUGGACGGUGGUGGGGGCUUAAAAUGUUUUAAAUGCUAGAAAUUUAUUAUUAAAAAAAUAGAUAAAAUAUAAAAACAUGUGGAGAGAAGAAAGCCAAGGAUAUUUUUUUUUCUUUUAAUUUUCUUUCUUCCAUCCGAAUAUUUUUUUUCUUAGGCUGGUGGAAAUGAAAGAAAUUUCAGCUUAUUUUCGGGUUACUGUUCGAAUUUCUGGAGGGAGAAGGAAAAAUCCCUUUUCCAUUCGUCUAAAGGAAAGGCUGCAGCAAGAUGGGGGAAGAACUGGUUCAAGGCUAGGCUCGGCUUGGAAUUUCUGUGCGCAGGUUAGGUACUCUAUUUUGAUCGCUGACUUAGCAUCCAACAACAACAAUCCCGAUCUUAAGUGUGGUGAUGUUUAAUUUUGUAAUGACAUGUACUUAGGAUGUUUUUGGUUGUUAGUUGUUUUGUGAAUUUUUCCUAAGCUUUUAAAAUGAUUUAAAAUUGGUCCUGAAUUAUUUCUAAAGUAUUUUUAGGGCCUUGAGGGUUUGAUUUAGGGACGAUAUGUGCAUGUAAGAAUGGUUUAAGUUAUGUUUAUGAUUUUGAAUGAAAUUAUUUAUAAAUGUUCCAAUUGUACAGUAAA